rnacentral:rRNA from 1 species
GACGUCAAAUCAUCAUGCCCCUUAUGUCCUGGGCUACACACGUAAUACAAUGGCGGUCAACAACGGGAUGCCAAGCCGUGAGGUGGAGCAAAUCCCAAAAGCCGUCUCAGUUCGGAUUGCAGGCUGCAACUCGCCUGCAUGAAGUCGGAAUUGCUAGUAAUCGUGGAUCAGCAUGCCGCGGUGAAUACGUUCCGGGCCUU